AUUCUAGUCCCUCCGUUGCACAAUACAUGCCUUCUAUUUGUCAAAAUAUAUAUGUAUCUAGACAUGUUUUAGUAUAUAGGUACAUCUAUUUUUGGACAAAUGGAAGUCAAGUAUUUUGGAACGGAUGAAAUACACA
rnacentral:pre_miRNA from 1 species